CAGUGAUAAACUGGAGGAAGGUGGGGAUGACGUCAAGUCAUCAUGGCCCUUACGAGUAGGGCUACACACGUGCUACAAUGGCGCAUACAAAGAGAAGCGACCUCGCGAGAGCAAGCGGACCUCAUAAAGUGCGUCGUAGUCCGGAUUGGAGUCUGCAACUCGACUCCAUGAAGUCGGAAUCGCUAGUAAUCGUGGAUCAGAAUGCCACGGUGAAUACGUUCCCGGGCCUUGUACACACCGCCCGUCACACCAUGGGAGUGGGUUGCAAAAGAAGUAGGUAGCUUAACCUUCGGGAGGGCGCUUACCACUUUGUGAUUCAUGACUGGGGUGAAGUCGUAACAAGGUAACCGUAGGGGAACCUGCGGUUGGA
rnacentral:rRNA from 1 species